rnacentral:rRNA from 1 species
UACGAAGGGGGCUAGCGUUGCUCGGAAUGACUGGGCGUAAAGGGCGCGUAGGCGGACGGCUUUGUCGGCGUGAAAUUCCAGGGCUUAACCUUGGGUGUGCGUUCGAGACGGGUUGUCUUGAGUUUGGAAGAGGGUCGUGGAAUUCCCAGUGUAGAGGUGAAAUUCGUAGAUAUUGGGAAGAACACCGGUGGCGAAGGCGGCGACCUGGUCCAAGACUGACGCUGAGGCGCGGAAAGCGUGGGGAGCAAACAGG